rnacentral:lncRNA from 1 species
UAAGUCUUCUUCUACGAAGAAAAAGGAAACAACAAAUAAUGUUUGGGCCCUAAAAAGGAGAAAAUUGAAGAUGCAAAGACUUUCCUGGUAGCACUCUCUGCGGAAUGUACCACAAAUGGGAAUACAUCUUCUUGGUGUUGGAGCGGAUCGGGAACAUGGUCACAUAAUGGGAGAACAUUCUCGUCAUAGUAGCCGACGACGAAGCUACCAUCGAGGAGUAGG